CGGCGAGUGAAGCGGGAAGAGCUCAAAUUUGAAAUCUGGCGGCCUUUGGUCGUCCGAGUUGUAGUCUGGAGAAGCGUCUUCCGCGCCGGACCGUGUACAAGUCCCUUGGAACGGGGCGUCAUAGAGGGUGAGAAUCCCGUCUUUGACACGGACCGCCGGUGCUUUGUGAUGCGCUCUCAAAGAGUCGAGUUGUUUGGGAAUGCAGCUCAAAACGGGUGGUAAAUUCCAUCUAAAGCUAAAUAUUGGCGAAAGACCGAUAGCGAACAAGUACCGUGAGGGAAAGAUGAAAAGCACUUUGGAAAGAGAGUUAAACAGUACGUGAAAUUGUUGAAAGGGAAACGCUUGAAGUCAGUCGCGUCUCUUGGGACUCAGCCUUGCUUUUGCCUGGCGUACUUCCUGAGGUGACGGGCCAGCAUCGAUUUUGACCGUCGGAGAAAGGCCUUGGGAAUGUGGCACCUCCGGGUGUGUUAUAGCCCUGGGUCGCAUGCGACGGUUGGGAUCGAGGACCGCAGCACGCCUUUUUGGCCGGGGUUCGCCCACGUAACGUGCUUAGGAUGCUGGCGUAAUGGCUUUAAGCGACCCGUCUUGAAACACGGACCAAGGAGUCUAACAUGCCCGCGAGUGUUUGGGUGGAAAACCCGGACGCGUAAUGAAAGUGAAAUGUUGGGACCUCUGUCGCGGAGGGCACCGACGCCCGGACCAGACCUUCUGUGACGGCUCCGAGGUAGAGCGUGCAUGCUGGGACCCGAAAGAUGGUGAACUAUGCCUGAGUAGGGUGAAGCCAGAGGAAACUCUGGUGGAGGCUCGUAGCGAUUCUGACGUGCAAAUCGAUCGUCGAACUUGGGUAUAGGGGCGAAAGACUAAUCG
rnacentral:rRNA from 1 species